rnacentral:misc_RNA from 1 species
AAGUCGUAACAAGGUCUCCGUUGGUGAACCAGCGGAGGGAUCAUUACCGAGUUGUGAAAAACUCCCAAACCCUCGAGAACGUACUUGGUUGCCUCGGCGGACGGCGCUGCCCUGGGAUGACCUGCCCUGUAGUGACAUACCCGGUAGCGUUUUACCCUGUGCUUCGCACCCGUCAGUGGGCGUUUUUUAAAUUCUGUUUUGUCGUGGCACUUCUGAGGACGAUUGUAAAUCGAUGAAAACUUUCAACAACGGAUCUCUUGGUUCUG